CCACUGUCUUCGGGGAUAAUGCAUUUAAAGAGAAGUGUCGGAUUUAGUGACCGACAGUCCACCAGGGGGUUACCCAGGUGGUAGAUUUGUAGGCGGGGGAGAUCGUAAGGCUGAUAACUCGAAUGGUAACACAGAGACGCAAGGUUUAGACAGGUUCGGACCUCCAGAGAGUAAUACCCUACGUCCCGUGUUCUGGUGGAUUGUAUUGCUGAUCGUAGGUGCGAAGAGUUAACGUGAUGUGUGAUGAGUCACCCUCGGGGGUGCCUCUGGCCGCCUUAUAUAGGCUGACGACCUAGGGUUACAAUUGGAUAGAAUCUAAUCCUAGUCGGUUGUUACAUGGAAGGCAAUCUGAGUCGGUUUACAACAAGUAUCCCGUGAUAUCCAGGCUGAAUUGAUUCGCCCGGCCUUCUAGCUUGUGCUCCACGCAUCUUUAUGCCUUGGCUCGCACGAUAUGGUCGGGCGGGCCCACUUGUCAGGGCUGACCAGUAUCCUGGUUGAUGGGGACCCGUAGGUACCCUUAUCCCUCAAGCCCUCAAGUGAUGUGGAGUCGAACAGGAACCUGACGGAUGCGCAACGGAGCUUGUAAUGUACUCGGCUGAAGGUGCGGUGUCGUCAUAGUGAUGGAGAGGCUGCGCAGUGCUAAAAAAAGGAAGAAAAAUUGAAGCUUCCACAGGCGUAUGACCAAAUGCGCAUGGCUAUGCGACUACCGAGCUCCGAGAUGUCUGGCAUCCUGUAGAUCGAAGGAAAGCACAUGGAGGGCGUCGCAAGACGCACUCCAUAUGGAGUAGCCCUUGAGCAUUGAAGCGAUUAAAGUAAUUGGUCCAAUGGUCAAGAAUCUGAUGUAUUGUUUCCGUCGUAAAAGGGAUACAAAUAUAGCGCUCAGCCCCCGAGCGCGAGGACUGGUGGAGCCACGGAGGCACGUCGUGAGACUUAACGGAAAACCCGCGGGUUCCGUCCAUUGCUUGCGGCGUAACAGGAGACAUGCGGAUUCCGUCGCUAGGUUUACGCUGUCAAUGCCUUCAAAAGCCGAAGAGGCGCGGUUUCCUUUUCAUUUCCACUCCACUCGCCCCCAAGUGUCACCGCCGCCAACGCCAUCGCCGUCGCGCCUGAGAGCCCUAGGUCACGCCGCUGCGUCCGCAAGCCACAUCCACCGCUCCUCCGCGCAAAGGCUGCAGUCACCGCCGCCGUGCUGCCAUUCCCCGCCGCAUGCGAACCAAGAGGCCCGCCUUCAUCAGAUCUGUGUCUCGAGGAGUAGAAACCGAAGAAAUGGCGAUGGAGUAGGCACCAGAUCCAUCCAUGUACUGGGUGAAAUCCGUGAUGUCGGAGGAGAGGAUCCAAGCCCUCGUCGAUCGCGGCCUGCUCGGUUCCAAGUCCCUCCCGGAAUGGAAGGCGACCGCGGGACAAGAGUUCCCCACCGAGGACAAGACCGAAGCUGUCGUCUUUGCGGCAUUUUUCGAGCGGGGAUUCGGGAUCCCGACAGGGGAUUUCUUUCGCGGGUUGCUAGAGUACUACAAGAUCGAGUUAGUGCAUCUCAACCCUAACUCCAUUUUGGACAUCGCAGUUUUUAUCCACCUUUGCGAAGCUUUCCUCGGAAUUCCUCCCCAUUUCAAUCUGUCGAGAUAUCUCUACCAACUAAAAAUUGUGUCGACCAAGGGGAAGCCGGGAUUGAUCGGUGGUUGUGGAUUUUCGCUGCAGCCAAAGAGGGUCCUGGAGUAUUUUGGUCUGAAGCUCAAGGACUUGAACAAGGGGUGGCAUAAGGAAUGGUUCCUUAUCACCAAUCAGAAGCCCGAGCUGCCGCCCCGCCUCGGGUAUGCACCCGUGACAAUGCCGGAGUGGUCGAACCAGCCGACCUCCACGGAAAUGGUCCAGGUGAAGCAACUGUUAAAAGAGAUUGCCGACCUAAAAUGUCGUGGGCUCACAGCCAGGGCUGUGAGCAUCAACUUUUGCCGGAGGCUGACAUAGCCGAUCAAGGAUAGGGUCCAUCCGGCGUAUGAGUACUUGGGGCUGUUGGAUCCAACCCGGGACGCACAGCGGAAGGUUACCUAGGAAGAGGUUGCCGGCCGGAUGUGCAAGUUCUUCAGUGGCGUCAUCAAGAACAAGCACUGCCCCAAGGCGUACUCCCUCAUGAGGUCGGCCGACCCGGUAAGAUCUUGAUUUUCAUCGAUUAACUAGGAGUCGGACUCAUCCUUUGACGACUCUGACGAGGACGUAUCGGUCUAAGGCAGCGGGACGGAGGUCGGGGGCACGGUCCUACUAGGCAGCCGGCAUGCCAGGCCGUUCGCAAGGUGUUGGAGUCCAAGGUGCCAGAGGCGGAGAAGCCGGAGGCUGAGAAGAAGCAGAAGAAGAGGGGUGCCACGUAGUCGAAGGCACCCGCCGUGGCGGCAGCAUCCUCUACGGAGACCUCGUCCGGGGUGCCGAGCGAUGACUCUAAAUCGCCCAGCCCGACCGCCAAGAAGAAGGCCGUGCUCCUUGGGAUGACCGCAGCCGACGCGAAGUGGCUCAAGGAGCGGCUGAAAACGGAGAUCUGCGGGGGGAAGCAGAAGGAGCCGAUCUUGCCGCCGCCAUCACCUCUUCGCCUAAUGUUACGAGCGAAGAAGAGCAUGUUGUGAGUCUGAUCAUGGCGUCGUACAUUGUUGGAAGUUUGUUUGUACGUUGCUUAACUUUGUCCCUGUGCUGCGCUGACCGAGCAGGGAGGCGGUGAUAGAGGAUGACUCGAGCCUGGAGGACACUGGCGUCGGGACCCAUGCAAAAGGUCGGACUCCUGAGGCAACCAUAGGGGCUGCAUCUACGAUGUCUGUCCAAGCCGGGAGCAAGAGUAGCCUAGUGGUGGGACCUAAGGGGCCCGAGCCAAGGUCUUCGUUGCGCUAGGAUGCCGCCGUAUCUGCGCCCGGGGCCGCAGAUGCCAGUGUCGAGGUGCAGAUGGAGGAGACCCCCAGGGAAGCGCCAACGUCGAUGCCCACGUGGAGGAUGAUUCCGCCACCCUGGACUUCUUCGAGACGGCCCUGGCACAGGAUGUUGCUGCCGACAAGAGGGAUCUUGCCAUCCUGCAGGAAGCCUCGGCCAAGGUCGGAUAGGUGUUAUACAAUCUGGCCAAGCGUGCGCACAAGAGGGCGGACGCCAUCCACUGAGCUGAGGAGUAUCGCCUUAGGCCGAGCGCCUGAAGGCCGAGCUCAAGAAGGCUAAGGAGGAUGCUGCGGAGCAGAUCUGACAAAAAGACCGGGAGAUCGAGGAGCAGAAGAUCACCAGGGAGGUCUAGGGCGACCUUGGCGCUUUGCUGACCGGUACGACUUCAUCCCUUAUGGAGGAUCUAGCUUGGGUAGAUAAGGCCGGUAUCUUUUCUUGAGUUCCGUUACUUUGUAGAUGCCCAGAAGAAAGAGGAGAGGCUCAAGAGAAACCUCAAAAAGUGCAAGGCUGCCAAUGCCCGACUACAGCAAGACCACGACGUCGCCGUGCGCCGUGAGUAUGAUGUGUCGCGGAAACUGUCCUAUGAGGCCAACUUGCACAAGGACAUGGACCGGUGCUUGAUUGCCGCUAUGAAUAGCCUCUAGCAUGAUCAGGUGGUUAUUGUAGGGUUGGAGCUGGAGCUGGAAGGUCUGCGGUCGGCCGCGGGCUACAUGAUGGACAUGGUCCAGCCUGAGGCCAAUCCUGCCGAGCUGACGCCGACUGCUGGACCGACUGAGGAGUUCUCCUAGUUGUCUGAAGGUGCCGAUGAAGGAGACCACCGUGGAGUGCGCGGAGAACGUCAUUGUGCUUCUCAAGACGCAUUUCUCUCAAGUGGAGGUGGAGCGCGUCGGAGCGGGGGUAGCCAAGGGCUUCGAUCCUGAUAGCCUUUUGGAGUUGGCCUUCCAGUAUCAACAGGCUGCAGAGGAGGUAGUCAAGGAGUUGGACUUGUAAUAGAAAAAAACUAUGAUGUGUAUCAUUUUGUGUCAUGAGACAAGUAAACUAGUCAAUUAACUUAUGUAAA